rnacentral:rRNA from 1 species
UACGAAGGGGGCUAGCGUUGCUCGGAAUCACUGGGCGUAAAGGGCGCGUAGGCGGCGUUUUUAAGUCGGGGGUGAAAGCCUGUGGCUCAACCACAGAAUGGCCUCGAUACUGGGACGCUUGAGUAUGGUAGAGGUUGGUGGAACUGCGAGUGUAGAGGUGAAAUUCGUAGAUAUCGCAAGAACACCGGUGGCGAAGGCGGCCAACUGGACC